AAGGAUCAUUAUAGUAUUCUAUUGCCAGCGCUUAAUUGCGCGGCGAUAAACCUUACACACACUGUUUAUUCUUUUAUGAACUUUGCUUUGGGUUGAGCUUAGCUUAGCCCAGAGGUUAUAAACACAUUAUUUUCUAAUGUUUACAACAAUUAAAAACCUUUAGUCAUGAAAUUUUUUAUAAAAUAAAAAUCUUCAAAACUUUCAACAACGGAUCUCUUGGUUCUCGCAACGAUGAAGAACGCAGCGAAAUGCGAUAUGUAUUGUGAAUUGCAGAUUUUCGUGAAUCAUCGAAUCUUUGAACGCACAUUGCGCCCUCUGGUAUUCCGGAGGGCAUGCCUGUUUGAGCGUCAUUUCUCUCUCAAACCCUUGGGUUUGGUAUUGAGUGAUACUCUGUCAUAUGGGUUAACUUGAAAUAUUGAAACAGCAAGAGUGUAUUUGAUAGUACUCCUUCUGAAAUAAUGUAUUAGGUUCUUCCAACUCGUUAUAUCAGUUUGGCAGUUGCUUCAGGUAUUUUAGGCUCGGCUUAAUAACAAUAACAUAAAGUUUGACCUCAAAUCAGGUAGGAUUACCCGCUGAACUUAAGCAUAUCAAUAAGCGGAGGAAG
rnacentral:sRNA from 1 species